rnacentral:rRNA from 1 species
GAUGAACGCUAGCGGCGUGCUUAAUACAUGCAAAGUCAUACGGGACUAUUUGAAAGCUUGCUUUUAAAAUAGUCUAGUGGCGAACGGGUGAGUAAUGCAUAAGCAAACCUACCUAUUUGACUGGGAUAACUAUUGGAAACGAUAGCUAAUACCGGAUAGUUAAUUAGAAGGCAUCUUCUAAUUAUUAAAGUUGGGUUUCCAACACUAAUAGAUGGGCUUAUGUUGUAUUAGUUAGUUGGUGAGGUAACGGCUCACCAAGACGAUGAUACAUAGCCGGCCUGAGAGGGUGAACGGCCACAUUGGGACUGAGACACGGCCCAAACUCCUACGGGAGGCAGCAGUAAGGAAUUUUCGGCAAUGGGCGAAAGCCUGACCGAGCAACGCCGCGUGAGCGAUGACGGCCUUUGGGUUGUAAAGCUCUGUUGUAAAGGAAGAACAAAUGGAAGAGGAAAUGCUUCCAUACUGACUGUACUUUACUAGAAAGUCACGGCUUACUACGUGCCAGCAGCCGCGGUAAUACGUAGGUGGCAAGCGUUAUCCGGAAUUAUUGGGCGUAAAGGGUGCGCAGGCGGUCUGUUAAGUUUAGGGUGAAAGCGUUAGGCUCAACCUAAUAUAGCCUUAAAAACUGAUAGACUAGAGUGCAGAAGAGGGAAACGGAAUUCCAUGUGUAGCGGUAAAAUGCGUAGAUAUAUGGAGGAACACCAGCGGCGAAGGCGGUUUCCUGGUCUGUAACUGACGCUCAUGCACGAAAGCGUGGGGAGCAAAUAGG